rnacentral:snRNA from 1 species
AUGCUGGGACUGGUGCCUGGAGAGAACCUGAUCAUUGAGGGGACCUCCCGAGCUGAUGGAAGGCAUUGCACUUAGCCAUCUGCCAGCUUGCCACUGCGUCGAAUUGAUGUAGAUGGGGCACGCAAUUUUUGGUAGUGGGGACUGGCCAUCCCCGCCCUAU